rnacentral:lncRNA from 1 species
UCAGUGAUGAGAAAGCAAUGAGGGAUGCGAUUGAAGGAAUGAACGGCCAGAACCUUGACGGCCGUAACAUCACCGUUAAUGAAGCUCAAUCACGCGGCAGCGGUGGUGGUGGCGGUGGUUUCGGAGGUGGCAGACGCCGUGAGGGUGGAUACAGUGGAGGUGGCGGAUACGGUGGUGGUGGUAGUUACGGAGGUGGCAGACGCGAGGGUGGCUACAGUGGCGGCGGUGGUGGCUAUGGUGGUGGUUACGGAGGUGGCCGUGACCGUGGAUAUGGUGGCGGUUAUGGUGGUGGUGAUGGUGGGUCCCGCUACUCAAGAGGUGGAGGUGCAUCCGAGGGAAGCUGGAGGAAUUAGAUUUAAGAUUCUGAAACUGGGUUUAAUUAAUUGUGUCUAAUAUAUGUCCUCCUUUAGAUAGUUUUUAAAUUUGGUGACUAUAUUUCUGGGUUGGGUAAAAGUCUAUUUUUGUUAUAGUUUUUAAAUUUGGUGACUAUAUUUCUGUGUUGGGUAAAAGUCUAUUUUUGUUACUGUGGCUCGUGUUACUGUUCUGGUUUCUCGUUAUUGGUUCUCGUUAUGUUACUGUGUGGAUCUGUACUUACAAGUUUAAACGAAGGUUACCAAUGAUCACUCAUUUUUAAGUGCCUAUAUAUUGGAUGGAAUUUGAUGUAAUUGCUUCACUGAAGAGUUUUAUGUAUUUUCUACUUGAAUCAAGACUAGUAAUCAAUUGUUAUUAGCUUAUAGGGAUAAUUUCCAC